rnacentral:tRNA from 1 species
UCCCUGGUGGCUUAGCUGGUAAAGAAUCCACCUGCAAUGUGGGAGACCUAGGUUCAGUCCCUGGGUUGGGAA